rnacentral:rRNA from 1 species
CGUCAGGACGAACGCUGGCGGCGUGCUUAACACAUGCAAGUCGAACGAGGAUAGUCGUGGAAGGACUCGGUUGGAAAUGAUAUCGAGUGGCGGACGGGUGAGUAACGCGUGAGCAAUCUGUCCCAGACAGGGGGAUAACACUUGGAAACAGGUGCUAAUACCGCAUGAGACCACGGGGAGGCAUCUUCCUGGGGUAAAAAGGAGAAAUCCGGUUUGGGGUGAGUUCGCGUCCGAUUAGAUAGUUGGUGAGGUAACGGCUCACCAAGUCGACGAUCGGUAGCCGACCUGAGAGGGUGAUCGGCCACAUUGGAACUGAGAGACGGUCCAAACUCCUACGGGAGGCAGCAGUGGGGAAUAUUGGGCAAUGGGCCGAAAGCCUGACCCAGCAACGCCGCGUGAGUGAAGAAGGCCUUCGGGUUGUAAAGCUCUGUUAUAGGGGACGAAGGAAGUGACGGUACCCUAUAAGGAAGCCCCGGCUAACUACGUGCCAGCCGCCGC